GCGGUCAGAUGCUCUCGUUAUUCCCUCGCCGCGCGCAUGCCGUUCGGGAGAGAUGCAAUAAGCGGGGUGAUGAAAAGCGAGACUGCUAUAAACGGAGCGUUGGCGGAUCGCCGCUUUCCCCUCGCGCCGUGUGUGCACCGCGGUUUGGCUAUUCGUGAGCGAGCGAACCAACGAGUGAAAAAGAGGCCGCUCCAGAGUCAUGUUCUCCAGAGUGUUCCAGACUCCAUUUUCUCCUCACCGGUUUAUCACCUCUCUCCGUGCUCUACUGACCUGAUUGCCUAGUGCGGGCCUCCAUUCGCCAGAUGCUGAUUUGAUGGACCUCUGUGAACCUUUGUGAAUAUUCAUGAAAGGCCCCUGCUAAGAGCCUGCUGGUGGUCUCAGAACCUGCUGGUGGUCUCAGAACUAUGGACCGCCCACCUCGGAGUCCACACUUCAGAAUCCUGGAAUGUGUUUGGGAUUACUUGGAUCCAGAGAAGCAGAAAAUGCAACCAACCUCCAAGACUGAACUUUGGAGCAGUGGAAACCCCUGACCCAUAUCUGACCACAAGUCAGUCAAGAGAACUUUGCCCUGGUUGUCCUAUGAGCCGCCACAGCCCAGCUGGGGAAGACUGCAGGAACAGAGGACCCAAACAAAUAAGGACACCUUUCCCUCCACAGAACUCCCACCAUCUCCAUCACGCACUUCGGUCUUUUCCUGAUGUUUUCUCUCCAGACCUGGAAGCCAAAAAGCAGGUGAAUUGGUUCUGUUUCCUCAAGACGUGGAGAGGAAACGAAAAGCACCUGAGAGGCGACCUCGGCCUGUUCUUUUACAAGACCCCGAGAUUCAGCCGGUGCGGCUGUGAAGCUUUGACCAGCACCCAGGCAGCAGGUACGACUCCACCAGGGUCUCGGAGGCGCUCUUCCUGUCGCGGUGCGUCUUGGCGUGCUUGGCCAGGUGGUCGCUCCUCAUGAAGCGCUUGCCGCACUGCUGGCAGCCGAAGCGCUUGUCGCCCGUGUGCGUGCGCAGGUGACGCUGCAGCUCGUCGGAGCGCGUGAAGCUCUUCCCGCAGAAGGGCCAGCCGCAGAUGAAGGGCCGCUCGCCCGCGUGCCAGCGCAGGUGGGCCUUCAGGUGCGACGUCUUCUUGUACACUUUUCCGCAGCCGGGCAUGUGGCACACGUGCAGCCU